UACAGAGGUCUCAAGCGUUGUUCGGAAUUAUUGGGCGUAAAGAGCGUGUAGGCGGCCAUACAGGUCCGUUGUGAAAACUCGAGGCUCAACCUCGAGACGUCGAUGGAAACCGUAUGGCUAGAGUCCGGAAGAGGAGAGUGGAAUUCCUGGUGUAGCGGUGAAAUGCGCAGAUAUCAGGAAGAACACCCGUGGCGAAGGCGGCUCUCUGGGACGGUACUGACGCUGAGACGCGAAAGCGUGGGGAGCGAACAGG
rnacentral:rRNA from 1 species